AGAGUUUGAUCCUGGCUCAGAUUGAACGCUGGCGGCAUGCCUUACACAUGCAAGUCGAACGGCAGCGGGGACUUUGGUCCGCCGGCGAGUGGCGAACGGGUGAGUAAAGUAUCGGAACGUACCUUUCAGUGGGGGAUAACGUAGCGAAAGUUACGCUAAUACCGCAUAUUCUGUGAGCAGGAAAGCAGGGGAUCGCAAGACCUUGCGCUGAUUGAGCGGCCGAUAUCAGAUUAGCUAGUUGGUGGGGUAAAGGCCUACCAAGGCGACGAUCUGUAGCGGGUCUGAGAGGAUGAUCCGCCACACUGGAACUGAGACACGGUCCAGACUCCUACGGGAGGCAGCAGUGGGGAAUUUUGGACAAUGGGGGCAACCCUGAUCCAGCCAUGCCGCGUGAGUGAAGAAGGCCUUCGGGUUGUAAAGCUCUUUCGGCCGGGAAGAAAUCGCAUAGGUUAAUACCCUGUGUGGAUGACGGUACCGGAAUAAGAAGCACCGGCUAACUACGUGCCAGCAGCCGCGGUAAUACGUAGGGUGCGAGCGUUAAUCGGAAUUACUGGGCGUAAAGCGUGCGCAGGCGGUUUCGUAAGACAGAGGUGAAAUCCCCGGGCUCAACCUGGGAACUGCCUUUGUGACUGCGAAGCUAGAGUACGGCAGAGGGGGGUGGAAUUCCACGUGUAGCAGUGAAAUGCGUAGAGAUGUGGAGGAACGCCGAUGGCGAAGGCAGCCCCCUGGGCCGAUACUGACGCUCAUGCACGAAAGCGUGGGUAGCAAACAGGAUUAGAUACCCUGGUAGUCCACGCCCU
rnacentral:rRNA from 1 species